UACGUAGGGGCAAGCGUUGUCCGGAUUUAUUGGGCGUAAAGAGCGUGUAGGCGGCCAUACAGGUCAGCUGUGAAACUCGAGGCUCAACCUCGAGACGUCGGUUGAAACCGUAUGGCUAGAGUCCGGAAGAGGAGAGUGGAAUUCCCGGUGUAGCGGUGAAAUGCGCAGAUAUCGGGAGGAACACCGGUGGCGAAGGCGGUUCUCUGGGCCUUACCUGACACUGAGGAGCGAAAGCGUGGGAGCGAACAGGAC
rnacentral:rRNA from 1 species